CCUAGUUCUUUUGGGCACGGGUAUUUAGGAGAGUUAGAUUAAGGAGAAAAAGUAGAAGCCAACAUGUUUAAUGUAAUUUUUAAUGAUUAUUAAAUCCGGAUUAAUGAAGUCAAAUAAUGUUCUUCAAUACAACUGUCGCAUAAAUAAAGGCAUCUCCGGUCGCCGUCCGGCCGGUCGGCGGCAGAGAAAUGAAGGAUUCCUCCGGCUGCAAGCACACGCACAAAACCACAACCAACAAUCAGAAAUGAAAUUGAACUAGUAAACACAUUUCGAAAUGAAACAAAACAGAUCAUAAAAAUCAUAUCAUCAAAAAACCACAUCAGUAAACCAGGUAGAUUCUAGAAAUUCGGCGAUCCAGACGUUUCGGCUUUCCCAAAAUCCAGAAAUUCGACAAAAAUUCUCCAAAAAAAUCGCCGAUCCAGAAAUUUCGACCUUCCUCUCGAUCUCCGCGCCUAUGGCUUUAGCUACCGCUGCGAAUCCGCCCUUUGUCGUCGAGGAACGGUGGAGGAGAGGAGAAGGCGGCGAGAAGGAACUGGAGACAGUCUUUGCUGCCGCUGUCGCUGCUACAUAUCCGGCGAGCAGUCGUCGCCCCCCUUCGCCUAAUCUGGUGGUGGAAGCGGGGUUUGGGGGUGGAGGCGCGGUUGAGGGUGGAGACAGGAAGGCGGAGGCGGCGUGAAGGAUGGAGGUGGUAGGUCGGCGAAAAUGGAGGAGGCGACGCAGAGGAGAAAGUGAUUUACGGGGAGAGGAGAAAGUGCAGAGAAGAAAGUGAUUUACGGAGAGAGGAGAGAGGUGUGGAUGAAAACCAAAAAAUUAGGGGAAAAAGUAAUUAGGGUUUCUUACUUUAAUUAAAAAAUAUAAUUAAAUGUUAAUUUUAGUCUAAAAAAGGAAACAGGCCAUGAAUAUUGGGACAGCCCAAAAAGGAAAACAGGCCAUGAAUAAUGGGACGGAGGGAG
rnacentral:lncRNA from 1 species